rnacentral:lncRNA from 1 species
UUAUAUUAUUUCCCCUUCAUUAGGAUGACUUGACUUUCUCUCGUUGCUAUUUGGUAUAUAUCAUCCAUCCCUCCAUUUCAUACGUAUGCUAAUUUAGUAUUCUUGUUUAGAUUGUUGAUGAUAUAACGAAUAGGCUCGGCCAUGUUUUGCUAGGUACUGAAAUUAUUCAUUUCGUUCUGUUUGUGGGUUACAAUUCUCCUAUAUUAAUCUUUUUCUUUUGUCAAAACAAUCUAUAACAAUUCGUUCUUGAAUGAUUACUAGUUUGAGAGAGUAUCUAGUAACUUUUGUUAAGUGAGCAUCCAAUAAGAUAAUCAUGUUGAAUUGAUGCUUUAAUUUUACUGAAAACUAAAUGAUUUUUUAAUUUAAAAUUGAUCACAGAGUCUGAAUCUUUCAUAGUCCGGGAUCAAAUUUAUGACGGAUUCUACAGUGCAAAAGUGAGGUAUGAAAGUUUAUUUUAAUCCAUUAGAUCAACUUAUUUUAAAAUCAAGGUUUCCUAUUUUUCUUUUUUUUUUGUUUUAUUUUUUAUUUGUUUUCUUCUCUUUACCAAUUUUGCCCCCUCUUUCUCCUCUUCUCUUUCAUCUACCUCAAACCCCUUAUCUCCUCCGCUAGCCCACCAUUCUCAUUUACUUCAACCACCGCACGCCACUUCGGAAAAGUGAUUUCCGACAGCUCUCCCCCCCUCUCCUCAUCGGGAACUACCACGACGCUAUUGUGGACGACCAUGACGUUGCAACACACUGCAUCGACACUGCCGCAUACUUUCUAAAGUAGUAAAGCAGGGUCUCUACUGUGCCAUCGCCGACAACGACUCCACCGCCACUGGCAAAAUAAAAAAAUGAAAGCAUGAGGGUGGCAAGACGAUAGGAAUGAACCCCUGACAAGAACUACCAUCAGAGGCUAGAAGGGCUUUGGGUUUCUUUACAAUAUAAGACUAGGAGAAAGAGAGAGAACACAUGCGGCAAGACAGAGAAGCUGAAAGUACGACAAAGAAGUAGAGAGAAAGAAGAAAAGGGGGAGAAUGAAAGAGAGCAGAGGGUAAAAUAAAAAAAUAGAAAAUGUUAAUCAUUGAUUCAAAAAUAAAUUAAUCUAGUGGAUUAAAAUGAAUUUCUACGAAAGUAAAAAGCUUUCAGACGAUAGAAUCCAUCUCAGAUUUAUAUAAUUUUAGUUGGCGUUUCUCCAUGAUACAAUUGAACACUAAAAAAAACUUCACCGCCCGAGGGAUUUAUUGUAUGAUUUGUAACGCAUUUUUCAAUGGUGACAAUUGUAAGAACAUAAUAUACACGCAGAACACGAGGCAGAAAAGAGUAUUUUAAUUUUCUUCUAGUGUACAGUAGUGACUAGAAGAUAUACGGUGCUCAGUGAAUUAACUUGCUACUGUUGUAUUUGAAAAGAGUUAACUUGUAGUUCAACGGAUGAAGGAUUAUAAUUAUGCAUACCAAGGGUACAAGCGUAGUUUGAUAUAAUCCAGCUAACUCAUACUCAGAAUGAACCAGUUAAAAACUUAUCAAAGUAUAAGAAAAGAACUGGACCAUUUUAAAAAACAACUCUCCUCACCUUCUGCAAAUAAAUGAUCACUCCAACAAGAGAAUAAAAUGAAAGGAUAACAAAAGCUAGAAUCAAAGGGUUACAAUCUGCAAUGCAUUGCUUCCAGACAAAUCGUGAUGAUAGUAGUCUUUCCCUUCAAUAACCCUAUCUAUCGAAACAGUUUAGAAGCACUUUCUGUGCACAAUUGAUGGACCAGAUUCGUCAUAUUCUGCCUUUGCAAUCCACAUCUGCACUCAAAACAACAGUUCGUGUCAUUAUUAUUAGCAUAGAAGAAUGUAUCUCACGAUAACAUAACAUUCCAAGAAGCAGGAAAAAAAAUGAAGAGAACAAACCUGCUGGAAGGUGCUAAGAGAUGCCAAGAUAGAACCACCGAUCCAGACACUGUAUUUUCUCUCAGGUGGUGCUACAACCUUGAUCUUCAUGCUGCUGGGUGCCAAUGCAGAAAUUUCCUUGCUCAUUCUGUCAGCAAUACCAGGGAACAUGGUUGUUCCUCCUGAAAGAACAAUGUUACCAUAAAGGUCCUUCCUGAUAUCAACAUCGCACUUCAUUAUGGAGUUGUAUGUUGUCUCAUGAAUGCCUGAAGCUUCCAUUCCGAUCAUGGAUGGUUGGAACAGAACCUCUGGACAUCUGAAACGCUCAUCGCCAAUAGUGAUGACCUGCCCAUCAGGCAACUCGUAGCUCUUCUCGACGGAUGAGCUGGUCCUGGCUGUCUCCAGUUCUUGCUCGUAGUCAAGGGCAAUGUAAGACAGCUUUUCUUUCACAUCCCUUACAAUUUCCCGCUCGGCUGAGGUGGUGAAGGAAUAACCACGCUCAGUCAAAAUUUUCAUCAAGAAAUCAGUGAGGUCACGACCGGCCAGAUCAAGACGAAGGAUGGCAUGUGGGAGUGCAUAACCCUCAUAGAUAGGGACAGUGUGGCUGACACCAUCACCAGAAUCCAACACAAUACCUGCAAAAAGAAGGCAAAUAAAUGAAGUUUAUAAAGUCAAUCACAUGAUAUAUGGAAGCUUUAUACAAGUUUUCUACAAUCACAAUUUCCAAAUGCAAUGCAGUUCACAGAAUGUGUUUCUUCCCCAUUUAGUAAUAUGUCAAGUGAAAUCAUUCACAAUGAAAUGAAUCAUUUUCAGUUUAUUCUAAUAUAUCUGGAAAUGCAAUGUUGAACAUACAGACUUUAUAGAUGCUAAUGGAUGUUGACAUGUGUUUAUUUCAAUUUCAAAGUUCCCAGAUAAGUUCAAACUAUACAGCCUCAAGCUAACCAAACAAAUAAAAAAUUGCUUACCAGUUGUACGACCACUUGCAUACAGUGAAAGAACAGCUUGGAUGGCUACGUACAUAGCAGGGGUGUUGAAGGUCUCAAACAUGAUUUGGGUCAUCUUCUCACGAUUAGCCUUGGGGUUAAGAGGGGCCUCAGUUAAGAGAACUGGAUGCUCUU